AUCUUGCUGACGAGUCCCAAAUAGGACGAAAUGCGCAUCCUGGAU
rnacentral:hammerhead_ribozyme from 1 species